rnacentral:rRNA from 1 species
ACUCAAAUGAAUUGACGGGGGCCCGCACAAGCGGUGGAGUAUGUGGUUUAAUUCGAUGCAACGCGAAGAACCUUACCUACUUUUGACAUGUACUGGAAGACUGGCAGAAAUGUCGUCGCUCGCAAGAGUCGGUACACAGGUGCUGCAUGGCUGUCGUCAGCUCGUGUCGUGAGAUGUUGGGUUAAGUCCCGCAACGAGCGCAACCCUUGCCUUUAGUUGCCAGCAUUUAGUUGGGCACUCUAAAGGGACUGCCGACGUUAAGUCGGAGGAAGGUGGGGAUGACGUCAAGUCCUCAUGGCCCUUAUAAGUAGGGCUACACACGUACUACAAUGGUGACUACAAAGGGAUGCGAAGCCGCAAGGUGAAGCCAAUCCCAUAAAAGUCAUCUCAGUUCAGAUUGGAGUCUGCAACUCGACUCCAUGAAGGCGGAAUCGCUAGUAAUCGCGGAUCAGAAUGCCGCGGUGAAUACGUUCCCGGGCCUUGUACACACCGCCCGU